UCCCUGGUGGCUUAGAGGUUAAAGUGUCUGCCUCCAAUGCAGGGGACCUGGGUUUGAUCCCUGGAUAGGGAA
rfam:Ovis aries breed Texel chromosome 9, whole genome shotgun sequence.